rnacentral:rRNA from 1 species
AGCAGCCGCGGUAAUUCCAGCUCCAAUAGCGUAUAUUAAAGUUGUUGCAGUUAAAAAGCUCGUAGUUGAAUUUCGGGGUCAGUAAGUUGGUCGUGCCACUGGUAUGUACUGGCUUUACUGAUUCCUCCUUCUUGUAGAACCGUAAUGCCAUUAAUUUGGUGUUGCAGGGAAACUGGACUGUUACUUUGAAAAAAAUUAGAGUGUUUAAAGCAAGCUAACGCUUGAAUACAUUAGCAUGGAAUAAUGAAAUAGGACGUUCGAUCCUAUUUUGUUGGUUUCUAGGAUUGACGUAAUGAUUAAUAGGGAUAGUUGGGGGCAUUAGUAUUCAAUUGUCAGAGGUGAAAUUCUUGGAUUUAUUGAAGACUAACUACUGCGAAAGCAUUUGCCAAGGAUGUUUUCAUUAAUCAAGAACGAAAGUUAGGGGAUCGAAGACGAUCAGAUACCGUCGUAGUCUUAACCAUAAACUAUGCCGACUAGGGAUCGGAUGAUGUUAAUUUUUUAAUGACUCAUUCGGCGCCUU